rnacentral:rRNA from 1 species
UACGAAGGGGGGCUAGCGUUGCUCGGAAUCACUGGGCGUAAAGGGCGCGUAGGCGGCCAUUCAAGUCAGGGGGUGAAAGCCUGUGGCUCAACCACAGAAUUGCCUUUUGAUACUGUUUGGCUAGAGACCGGAAGAGGUAAGUGGAACUGCGAGUGUAGAGGUGAAAUUCGUAGAUAUUCGCAAGAACACCAGUGGCGAAGGCGGCUUACUGGUCCGGUUCUGACGCUG